rnacentral:lncRNA from 1 species
GGCGUGAGUUGGGCGAGUAGUGACUGAGCUUCGAGCCUUCGAUGAUGGAGAAGACUCACAAUGAUAGUGACCAAGACGGCGUAGUGCACCAGCAUGAGUACGAAGACGACGUCGAGCAAGCACGGCAACGAGGGCUCGGUGUAGCGAAAGUCGACGACGGGGCAGAGGAGGCUCCGAGGAGGAUUUCGACGAGCUGCUUCGCCGGCGGCGGGACUGAAAUCGGCACGGAGGCGGCUGUGCGCGGCUAGACGCGAGAAGCACGGGAGAGGGUGAAAGGAGGCUGGGAAGGAGUUUGGCGAGAGCAGGCACGCGAUUUAUAUCCGGGGAGGAGGAACGGGCGCUGGGAUGGCACUAAUGGAGAAGAAACUGUCGCCAUUAACGGGGAAGAAACGGAUGACUCUAAUGGACAGGGAUAUGGACAGUAAAGAAGAGGAGAGGAGAGGGCGCGACAGUUGGGGAGGAGAACGGGACAGACGCGGUGCUGAUGGUCUCCACUACGGGUUGGCGGCCGUGGGAGGCGAGGCGACAUCCGUUGGUGGCUUCAACUGACGGCGGCGACAAUUCAGUGCGCAGCAACGAACGGGAGAAGAGGCAGGUAGAAGAG